AGGUCUCUUCUGCACAAGAACCACUCGCCGAUUUCAGAGCGCUGAGAACAUGGAGGGACCUCCACAAUCAGUUCAACAUAUGGCAGGAACAGGAUGAGCCGCUAUCUCUGCAGCGGAAAUUAUGGAGAAUUCAUUCUACAUUCACCAGGAAAGUCACACACAAUUAGAGCCGGUAUCAAACCAGAACAGACGACCAAGCCUAAACGGCGCGAUCGCAGGAAGGAAUGUCUAAUAUUAUCAAUCCCUCAUUCCUAAACACCGAGUGUUUUAUUGAACUCUGCCUGGUGACAAAUCGUACAUCUGUUGCCUGCAGUCACCCCUUCUUUUUCAAUUUCCAUCCUUGACACAGUCGCACCUCUGUGGUGCCACUUUGGAAUAAAACCUGCGAUUGUCCUCUGUCCA